GGCAGCCACUUUUGAAUUUAUUUUACUCAAAGUUGUACAUAUUCGUACUACGCAUAACUGAUUUUGGGUUGGACUGCACCUGGCUCUAAGUUGUCUCCCGGCACUAUCAUAUCAUCUAUGUGCUCCACAGCAGGGGAAGGUGUCCGCUCCACUAGUUGUCGAGGCUGCUGUUGAGGGGGUUCUUGCGGAAUUCGCGGUUGAAGAUGAAGAGUUUCGUUAUAAUUGCACAGCAUCCGGUACAUAUGAGGCAAAUACAAAGGCCGCAGCAGCAAAUAACCACGCAGCAAUAUCCAAUGCAAAAGAGAAAGCCGAAUACUAUCAACAACAGCACUAAAAAGGCGACCAAAGUUAGCACAGGACCAAUCUGAUAAAAAGGAUCGUAAUGGGAAUAACUAUAGAUUAUGACUGAUAAGUCGGAAUUGACCUGCUUUAAAUAGAGUACUCAAUCAGUAGUUUCUGAUCUUUAAUAUAAGUCAACGAAUCGUAUAAAUUGGUUUGGGUUGGCAAAAAACUUUUAGCCAACUUUU